AAAGAAUAAAGAUAAAGAAAACUCUCACACUUGUCAGUUGUUCGAUGUUCGAUCGAUUUUCGAUUUUUUUCGUUUUAUUUUUUGUCUUUGCUUGCUUC
rnacentral:ribozyme from 13 species